GUUGUAUAGUCAAGUAAUUAAGUGCAUGUGGUGGAUGCUUGGCAGUCAGAGGCGAUGAAAGACGUGAUAGCCUGCGAAAAGCUCCGGGGAGGCGGCAAAUAUCCUGUGAUCCGGAGAUGUCUGAAUGGGGAAACCCACUUACCAUAAGGUAGGUAUUGCAACAUGAAUACAUAGUGUUGCAAG
rnacentral:rRNA from 1 species